GACGAACGCUGGCGGCGUGCCUAAUACAUGCAAGUCGAGCGCAGGAAAUCGAUGGAACCCUUCGGGGGGAAGUCGACGGAAUGAGCGGCGGACGGGUGAGUAACACGUAAAGAACCUGCCCUCAGGUCUGGGAUAACCACGAGAAAUCGGGGCUAAUACCGGAUGGGUCAUCGGACCGCAUGGUCCGAGGAUGAAAGGCGCUUCGGCGUCGCCUGGGGAUGGCUUUGGGGUGCAUUAGCUAGUUGGUGGGGUAAUGGCCCACCAAGGCGACGAUGCAUAGCCGACCUGAGAGGGUGAUCGGCCACACUGGGACUGAGACACGGCCCAGACUCCUACGGGAGGCAGCAGUAGGGAAUCUUCCACAAUGGACGAAAGUCUGAUGGAGCAACGCCGCGUGAACGAUGAAGGCCUUCGGGUCGUAAAGUUCUGUUGUAAGGGAAGAACAAGUGCCGCAGGCAAUGGCGGCACCUUGACGGUACCUUGCGAGAAAGCCACGGCUAACUACGUGCCAGCAGCCGCUGUAA
rnacentral:rRNA from 1 species